CCCUGCGUCUCCCGCCGCGACUCCCACCUCGGCCCCAAGUUCACUUUCAGCCUUCAGAGGCCCCGUGGGCUCCUCACCGUUCUACCCCGGCUCACCAUGUGAGCAAAAACACAUCCCGAGCCCUACGGUCGUGGGGCUUAAACUAUGCUGGGGCGACGGGCCAGUGCACGUUGGCCAUUGCCGUGAGUGCUCUGAGGACCGGCCCACGGAGCUGACGCCAAGUAAGGGAGGCCUCUGGUCUGGUCCUUGGGCCCCAGAGGCUCGCCUAGGGAAGCGAUAUUUGAGCUGAGCCUUGAGGGAGUACCGGAGAGGCAAGUGGGUCUGAUGAGGUCGGUGGAUGCCCUCUACACCUGAGAAGCUCUUUGAGGUCAAGGAUCCACCAAAGAGUUCUGCACUGUGCUUUGCUGAGAUAAGCACUGGGUUUUCAGUGAAACUGGAUUGGAUUCAAAUCUCACCUCUGCCUUCUGUGAAUCUGUGACCUGAGGAACUACCUAGGUCAUACAGUGAUAUUCUUAAGAUGGCAUUGUAGAAACUCAGCAGCUGACAGCAAUGGCCCAAGAGUCCUGCAAAUCCAAAGUCAGCAUCCAGAAAUGGUGACCCUUCUAACACCACUCUCAUUCGAAGGCUCAAUGAUCUCAUCUUUGAA